rnacentral:rRNA from 1 species
UGCUUGGGAAUAUGCCUUGAGGUGGGGACGAACAGUUGGUAACGAACUGCUAAUAACCGCCAUAAUAGUCUACGGACCGAAACGAAGGGGGACCGGUUCGGGUCCGUCCUUGUCCUUUACGUAUUAGUCCCAACGUAGAGAUUAGUCUAGUAGGUGGGGUAAGUGGCGUCACCUAGGCGACGAUCUCUAGCUGGUUUGUAGAGGAUGAUCAGCCACACUGGGACGUGAGACACGGCCCACGACUCCUACGGGAGGGCAGCAGUGGGGAAGUAAUUGCACAAUGGGCGGAAACACCUGAUG